AAAACUUUUCGCUAAUAGAGGAGCCUAUGUAGGAUUAGGUAGUUGGUAUUUUGGGUAAAAGCCUACCAAGCCUAAGAUCCUUAGCUGUUCUGAGAGGUUGAACAGCCACACUGGGACUGAGACAAGGCCCAUGCUCCAUUUGGAGCCAGCAGUGAGGAAUUUUGGACAAUGAGCGAAAGCUUGAUCCAGCAAUACUACAUGAGUGAAGAAGGCUUUCAAGUUGUAACACUCUUUGGUUGAGGAGGAUAAUGACAGUACUCAACAAAAUAGCCCCGGCUAACUUCGUGCCAGCAGCCGCGGUAAGACGAAGGGGGCGAGCGUUAUCCGGAAUGACUGGGCGUAAAGGGUCCGUAGGCAGCAUUUUUUGUUGGAAGUUAAAUAAAAAAGCUUAACUUUUUUCCGCUUCUAAAACGUAAAUGCUUUGAGUUUGAUAGAAGAUAGCAGAAUUUCACAAGGAGGGGUGAUAUCCAGAGAUCUGUGAAGGAAUAUCAGAUGCGAAGGCGGCUAUCUAGAUCAACACUGACGUUGAGGGACGAAAGCAUGGGGAGCAAACAGGAUUAGAUACCCUGGUAGUCCAUGCCCUAAAAGAUGAGUGUUCGUGCUUAGAGAACUUUAGGCACUUAGUUAACACGUUAAACACUCCGCCUGGGGAGUACGAUCGCAAGGUUGGAACUCAAAGGAAUUGACGGGGGCCUAUACAAGUGGUGGAGCAUGUGGUUUAAUGCGAUAAUACGCGCGAAACCUUACCAGUUCUUGACAUAAAAAAGAAAAAGUUUGAAAAAGCAAUUUUAAAGAUUUUUACAGGUGCUGCAUGGCUGUCGUAAGCUCGUGUCGUGAGAUGUUAGGUUAACUCCUUUUAACGGGCGAAACCCCUUUUUUUCGUUGCUACUUAAUUUUAUUUUUAAAGCACUCUAAAAAAACUGCUCCCUUUUUUUAAUUCGGAGAGGAAGGUGGGGAUGACGUCAAGUCCUUAUGGCCCUUAUGAACUGGGCUACACACGUGCUACAAUGGUAAAGACAAUAAGAAGUGAUAGGGUAACCUAAAACCAAUCUUUAAACUUUAUCAAAGUUCGGAUUGUGGACUGCAACUCGUCCAUAUGAAGGUGGAAUCACUAGUAAUCGCACAUCAGCAUGUUGCGGUGAAUUUGUACCUAGGCCUUGUACACACCGCCCGUCACGUGCCGGGAGUUGGC
rnacentral:rRNA from 1 species